rnacentral:tRNA from 1 species
GGAUUGUGGCUCAGCGAUAGAGCGCUCGCCUAGCACGGGCGGGACCCAGGUUCGAUUCUUAGCACCA